rnacentral:rRNA from 1 species
GACGAACGCUGGCGGCGUGCUUAACACAUGCAAGUCGAACGAUGAACCCGGAGCUUGCUCCGGUGGAUUAGUGGCGAACGGGUGAGUAACACGUGAGUAACCUGCCCUUGACUCUGGGAUAACUGCGGGAAACUGUAGCUAAUACCGGAUACGACCCUCGGCGGCAUCGCCAGGGGGUGGAAAGAAUUUCGGUCAAGGAUGGACUCGCGGCCUAUCAGCUAGUUGGGGAGGUAACGGCUCACCAAGGAGACGACGGGUAGCCGGCCUGAGAGGGGGACCGGCCACACUGAGACUGAGACACGGCACAGACUCCUACGGGAGGCAGCAGUGGGUAAUAAUGCACGAUGGGCGCAAGCCUGAUGCAGCAACGCCGCGGGCGGGAUGACGGCCUUCGGGUUGUAAACCUCUUUUAGUAGGGAAGAAGCGAAAGUGACGGUACCUGCAGAAAAAGCACCGGCUAACUACGUGCCAGCCGCCGCCGUAA